CUACCAGGGUAUCUAAUCCCGUUCGCUCCCCUGGCUUUCGUGUCUCAGCGUCAGCUCAGCCCCAGCGACCUGUUUUCACCUUUGGCGUUCCAGACGAUAUCUACGCAUUUCACCGCUCCACCGUCUGUUCCGGUCGCCCCUAGCUGGCUCAAGACAGGCAGUAUACCCAGCCGUUCCACGGUUGAGCCGUGGGAUUUCACAAGGUACUUGCCCGCCCGCCUACACACGCUUUAAGCCCAGUGAUUCCGCCUAACGCUUGGCACCUCUGUCUUACCGCGGCUGCUGGCAC
rnacentral:rRNA from 1 species